CAGAGCUUCCUAGCAGGCCCUGCACUUCCUGGUCCUGUUUCCUCACAACCAUGCGUUACUGUAUGCACAGGAAGCACGGGGAAAGGUCAUGGCGAAAGUCUUUCUCUCAGAGAGCACGUUUUUAACCCUGCCAGGGCAGUGGUAGCUGGGCACGCCUAGAGUCAAGGCAUUUCCCGUGUAUGCAAGAGAGGCCAUCAUCUGCCCCCUGACGUCAGCGGUCACCACCGUCCAGUAGAAACCUCCCCUGGAAUGCCACCACCUCCCACCUGGUGCUCCUCAGCGAGGUAAGACGACUGCAAACACCAGAAGCCUGAAGAAUGUUUAACAGGGAAAGUUCCUGAUCCACAGUAACCUCAGUGUUCCUGACAACACCCGCGGGCCCAGGAAGUGUGCCAACCAACCAGAGGUGGGCCAAGCCCUCCUCCACCCCAGGAGGGCACCCAGCAAUCACUGCCCUCCCACCCUGUGGAGAACUGGGGUACAAGCUGUCCCAAGAAGCAAGUCUGAUGUGUACCAGGCAGUGACAACCAGUGUGGCCCUUUGGCAGAUGUCACUUGCAGGUGGUGUUUGCAGCACUCAUGUCCUCAUGUCAGGUGGGAUCUGUGAAAAGCUGGAGAGAUGUCAGGAGCCUCCCCAGUGAAAAGAACCAGGGCUCCCUGGAGGGACGGCUCGUCCUGGGCUGGGACUGGAACAGAAGACACACAAGAGGAACCAGAAAGCAGGAAUAUGCUCCACACAGCCACACACCCACAACGAGAGCCGUGUCAACAGGGCAGCAGGGCCCAGGAGCCAGCGGAAUGAGGCCCCAGGGCCAAAAGCAGGACAAUUUGAGCAACAAAAUAAAUAGCAUAGUAUUGGAUUACAGCCAAAAGUGUAAAACAAACACCCGUGGGCCUACACUGACACGGGCCACAGUAAAUCUGUGGUGCAGAACAAUUCAAAACAAUUUAUGUUGACGGUCUGCCCUCAAAACAUAGAGGGCAGCUCUCCACCCGUCACCUGUGGGUUGUGCUGACUUCUUUCUGAAGUGGACAGACAGCAAGGAACGGAGACAGGGUAACUUCACAGUGGAGAAACUGGACAAACACGAUGUCAGCCAGGUGACAAAGGUCACCAGCAGCAGAGAUGUGUCGUGUUGACAGCACGAGCCCCUGACGGGGUGUGAGAGAAAUCACAGGUCACCUCUGCAAUCCCCUUCUUGAAACCCACAACCCCAAGCAACCAGACCAGUCCCAGCUGUCAGAAACCCGCAAAAUACCUAACCAAUAUCCCUUAAAACUGUCAAGGUCACUAAAAACAAGGAAAGUCGCAAAAGCUGUCAUAGCCAGGGACAGUCAAAUGGGACAAGAUGACUAAGUGUAAACAUGGCAUCUUGGGAUAUGAGGCAGAGAAAGCUAAAGAAAUAUGAACAAGGCAAAGGCUUUAGUUAAUAAUAACGUACCGGUUUGGGUGCAUUAACUGUGAAUACUCCAUACUAUUAUAACAUGAUAAUCACAGGGGAAACUAGGUAGGAGAGCUAGGGGACUGCACGUGCUAUUUUUACAAUUUUUCUGUAAAUGUGAAACUACUCUAAAAUGAAAGUUUUAUUUUAAAAAAUCUGUGGGGGAUGAUACAACGAAAUAAAGAUGCAAGGGAAAAUGUACAGUUUUGAAAAUUAGAAUGACACAUGUAUAUAUAUUUCUAAAAGUACUGACAUCAGGUAUCAAUUCAUUAAGGUAUUAAAUUUCAUUUUAUGAUGGAACCAUUCUUUUUUAAAGGCUGAUAUUCUAAUAUACCAAAUGUUACGCACUAAAUCUUAUGGUGAAAC
ensembl:lncRNA